CGUGUGGAACACGUGCUUUUGUGAAAAUAAAACAACUUCAAAUAGUUUUCUCACCUUAACGGCUGAUAUAAAUUAACAUUAAUGUGUUUAAGUAACAGCAAAAUUGAAAUAGUUAUUAUUAAACUAUAGCUACUGUACGAAAACAGAGUUGUAGCGAGAUACUGUAUCAAUAUUUUAUCAAAUUGUGUAUGUUUCCCACAUUAAUCAUAAGUUACUUGCAUGCAGAAAGUAUAUUUGAAUUAAUACGGGCUGCACGGUGGCCUAGUGGCUAGCAUGUUGGCCACACAGUCAGGAGAUCUGGAAUAUCUGGGUUCAAAUCUCCAUUGGGCGUCUCUCUGUGGAGUUUGCAUGUUCUCCCCGUGCGUGCGUGGGUUUUCUCCGGGUACAUAUUCCAAAAACAAGUUAAUUUGAGACUCUAAAUUGUCCAUAGGUAUGAAUGUGAGGGUGAAUGGUUGUUUGUCUAUAUGUGCCCUGCGAUUGGCUGGCGACCAGUCCAGGGUGUACCCAGCCUCUCGCCCUAAGUCAGCUGGGAUAGGCUCCAGCGUACCCCGGCGACCCUUGUGAGGAUAAGCGGCAUAGAAGAUGGAUGGAAUUAAUACAAAAGCUUUCACCAUCAAUUCAAGAGGCUCGGCCAUGGAGGCGCUGAGAGCAGAUGAGAAGAAAGACAAAACGGAUAGUAGCACUUUUGGAGACCUCCUAAAGAAGCCGCUAGAGACGAGAGCUGCCCCGCACAUCUUCUCAUCCUUCUACAAGCCCAUCGCCAUCAACAUGCGCCACCACGAAGGGCGCUACCACUAUGAACCGCACGCUUUCCACGCCGUGCAUGGGCAUACAGGUUUGACUGGAAGCCCUAUUAUCUCUGAUAUCUCCUUGAUCCGCCUUUCUCCUGCUGCCAUGGCCACGGGUGACUCUCCCUUUAGCCCGCCGCACAUGUACAUCAACCCUCACAUGGAACACUAUCUGCGCACCGUGCAUGGCGGCCCUGCACUGAUCUCAGCAGCCAGAGGCCUGAGCCCCACCCAAUUGGCUCAUGACCAUUUCAAAGAUGGCUGCCUGUUUGGGCUCCCUCCACCUCCUAUUCCCGGAGCAAGUCCGACCGAGUAUUACCAGCUGAUGGCGAGCCACCACAACCCCUGUGGUGAUCUGUUCAUGCAGGGGGCUGGGUUAAGCGCCGGAGCUCACUUGUCAGACUAUAUGGCCCCCAUUGAUGUGCCACGGUUGACUCCCAGAUUGAGCAGAAAGAGGGCGCUGUCCUUAUCGCCUUUGUCCGACACCAGUGUGGACUUCCAGACGAUGAUCCGCACCUCACCGAGCUCACUAGUGCCGUACAUCAACAGCUCCGUCGGAGGUCUUAGCCCGUCCUUCGCCUUCCCCCAUCCCAUCAACACUGUUGCCUACCAGCAGCUCCUCUCCCAGCAGCGAGGCAUCGGUGCUUUCAGCCACACUCCACCUCUCAUCCAGCCACCAGCCAUCUUCCCUGGUCGCCAGUCAGGCCUUGGUCUUUCGUCGCUGUCCAGCACCGCUCACACCAGUGACCUGAUAGCCAAAAACCCCUGCAGCGAGGCAGCCAUCAGCUGCACAGUUGACCCUGUCAUCACCAAGAGGUCAAAGGUUAAGACGGAAUCCCAAGCGGCGAGUUCAACGAAACAUCAAGGGGGCGCGUCAGAGCCAAAGAGCCAUGUGGACCAUGACAAGUGCACAGCAGAGCCUGACUUUGUGUACGAGACCAACUGCCACUGGGAGGGCUGCAGCACUGAGUACGACACGCAAGACCAGCUUGUACACCACAUCAAUAACGACCACAUCCACGGGGAGAAGAAGGAAUUUGUGUGCCGCUGGGAUGAGUGUUCUCGGGACCAGAAGCCCUUCAAGGCUCAGUAUAUGUUGGUGGUUCACAUGCGCCGGCACACAGGAGAGAAACCACACAAGUGCACGUUUGAGGGCUGCUCCAAAGCUUACUCCCGUCUGGAGAAUCUCAAAACCCAUCUGCGCUCUCACACUGGGGAGAAGCCCUACGUGUGCGAGCACGACGGGUGCAACAAGGCUUUUUCCAACGCCUCGGACCGAGCCAAACACCAGAACCGCACACACUCAAAUGAGAAACCAUAUGUGUGCAAGAUCCCAGGCUGCACCAAGCGUUACACUGACCCCAGUUCGCUCAGAAAGCACGUGAAGACUGUCCAUGGCCCAGAGGCCCAUGUCACCAAGAAGCAGCGCAGCGACCUGCCGCCCAGGCCGCCACCCAGGGACAGCAGCCAUGAGACUGUUAACAGAAUUCAUGAUAAGAUAGCAGACAGCAGCUCCCCCGGAGGUGUGGAGGACUGCCGGCAUGUCAAAUCCAUCAAAACAGAAAAUUCUGUGAUGCAUCAGCCCAGUCCUGGAGGUCGGCCAUCAUGUAACAGCGAACCAUCACCACUUGGCUGUGCUACCAACAAUGACAGUGGAGUAGAAAUGGCAGGGUUAAGUGCUGGAAGCCUGCGGGACCUCAGCACGGUGGUGCUCCUCGUGGAGUCUUUGGGAUACCAUUGGAGGAGUUUCAGCAGCUGGUAUCUGAAUCCAGAAGCAGCUCAGCUCUUACCAACAUCUGGAGCAUCUGCAUAAGGAAAAGGUGAAGACUUUUAGGGACUUGAGUCAGUGGACCGCCAACCGAAUAUCUCCAGCCCACAGCACCAAUCUGCCACCCAUACCAGCAGUGGAUGUUCCUCCAGCCAAGUGUGGGUGGUGGUCCUGUGUCUGUCUAUGGUUCCAGCUUUGAUCUGGGCUCUGGAGCAAGAGGUCUACUUGUAGGUCGAUCAAACCCAUGGCAGCACUUCCAGCACCUUGGGCUCACUUGACACCCUUAGACACUGCUCCUCUGGCACCUCCCCCUGCUGCGGCACUCAGACCUCACCACAGACCUUGGCUGUACCAGCCAAGCAGCCUCAGCUCUGUCGACUCCUACAACCCCAUCUCGCAGCGCUCCAGUCAGGCCGGUUAGACUGGGGUUGUACUCCACCUGACCCCAGCCCAGCGCUACCGCCUCAGGGCAAAAUACGCUGGAGCCACUGGAGGUGUAUUUCCUACACCUUUUCCCUGUCGGACCGGUGAGCCAAUCCGAUGGGUGGUUUUGGAGUCUGUUGACCCUGCACAAAUGCACCGUGACAAUAGCCUUGAUGGUGGAGAAUAUUUGGCAGCCUCACUCCCAUGCCUGACACAGACCUGAUGCUCCUGAGGACAUGGUCCCACCAUGGUCCAACACAACCAUCAACAUGUUCUUAGGCAACCUUCCGCAGCAGUUGUAUGUUCAAAGACGGAUGGUCAUCAUGGAUCCCAGUGUGAAUUUGACUGACCUGCAACAGAACCACAAUUGUGUCUCCUUUCAUGUCAGGUAUGAGAAGCAGGGUGUGCAUAACAUGUCAAGACAAAGGGUUGGACGCUCAGAUGGGAGCAAAGUUCUGAUGACAGCACAACACCAUCAACUAUCAGUCUGCAUUCAAGUCAGUCCUCGUCAUAGCGAUAUGACGACCACGACAACACAUAUUCACCAUGCAGCAGGUCGGUGUGUGUUCAAGGUUGCAUCCUAAGUUUCGACACAUGGGUGAACUUUGCAGGUUAAACUGGAUGUGAGGAUAUGAUGGAUGGCUUCAGAAUCCUUUGCAGAAACAAAACCAAGCACCAACAGAACCGAAGCCACUAGGCAGCCACCUUUCAUGUCUGCCAGGUCAUGCAGACAAAGAAGUUGCAAGGCUUUGUAGCAAUGCUUUGCGGCCAGAUCCAAAUCUCAAUCGAGACCAUCCUCAAGACGAGGAGCCCAGAUAGACUUUGAGAGCAUGCUGGAUGCUGAGGACUACUCCAGUCAUGCUGGGAAAUCUGAGUCUGCUCCAAAACUCGUCCAAGAGUUCUGACUGAUGACGACCAGCCACUCCAUGAAGCAAGCCUGGCGGUUAUGAAACAGAGUCCGCUGUCUUUUUGAACUCUACUUGACAAGCCAUAUUUCUAGGUAGCAUGUAAACCACAACGAGUAUUUCAUCUGUCACGCAGGUGUGCUGUCAAGUCUGUUAACUAAGUGCCUGGCGUGUACUUUGAGCAAAUUCACACAACUUACGACAUCAAAAUGCACCUGAGCUUCCCUUCUCUCAAGCCUCAUCAUGCUGAGUGUUUCGUUUGUGUGACCAUGAUGAGAUGAAAAGUAGCAGUGAUGAUACAGCAUGCUUAUAUGCAAAUGUCAUUUUUACAUUUCUAAAAAAUACAACAUGAACAAACAGUAGUGGUGUCAUCCUUCGAGACGUUUUGGAGUAGUUGUCAUGUGACUACCAUAUGUGACAAUAUGAAUUCCUUACAUUGGCAGUGUGUCAGUUUGUUUCCAAAAGCUUAUUUUUUGCCAUUAAAGAUAUUUUAAAGCCAUUUAAGAAUUCUGUUUAACAAAUAUAACAAUAUUCUUACUACACUCAACAAAAAUGUAAACGCAACAGUCUUUUAUUGUGGCCAGCCUAAUGCAAGUCUGUGUGCAUCAGCAUCUUGAUCUCUCACACCUGUGAGGUGAUGGAUUAUCUUGGCAAAGGGGAAGUGCUCACUAACACAGAUUUAGACAGAUUUGUGAACAAUGUUUGAGAGAAGAAAUUAGGUCAGUUGAUGGGAGCAAAAUCAAAAGUGUUUUAUUUUUGUUAUCGUAUAUUUCUUGAAUGAUUUAAGAUACAGAAUUUUCGCCAUCAGUCUUUUAGCCUAAAAUUGCGACGAAAAGCCGGUCAUGACGUAUUUGGCACAAAAGCAACAUUUGUAAUAGGUCAGUCAAUAAAUCUUGUUUUUUCCCCCUUGUCCUGUCCAGCCAAUG